CGUGCUUAACACAUGCAAGUCGAACGCUGAAGCCUGGCUUUUGUUGGGUGGAUGAGUGGCGAACGGGUGAGUAACACGUGAGUAACCUGCCCCCUUCUUUGGGAUAACGCCCGGAAACGGGUGCUAAUACUGGAUAUUCACUGGUCUUCGCAUGGGGGUUGGUGGAAAGGGUUUUCUGGUGGGGGAUGGGCUCGCGGCCUAUCAGCUUGUUGGUGGGGUGAUGGCCUACCAAGGCUUUGACGGGUAGCCGGCCUGAGAGGGUGACCGGUCACAUUGGGACUGAGAUACGGCCCAGACUCCUACGGGAGGCAGCAGUGGGGAAUAUUGCACAAUGGGCGCAAGCCUGAUGCAGCGACGCCGCGUGAGGGAUGGAGGCCUUCGGGUUGUGAACCUCUUUCGCUCAUGGUCAAGCCGCAACAAUGGUUGUGGUGAGGGUAGUGGGUAAAGAAGCGCCGGCUAACUACGUGCCAGCAGCCGCGGUAAUACGUAGGGCGCGAGCGUUGUCCGGAAUUAUUGGGCGUAAAGGGCUUGUAGGCGGUUGGUCGCGUCUGCCGUGAAAUCCUCUGGCUUAACUGGGGGCGUGCGGUGGGUACGGGCUGACUUGAGUGCGGUAGGGGAGACUGGAACUCCUGGUGUAGCGGUGGAAUGCGCAGAUAUCAGGAAGAACACCGGUGGCGAAGGCGGGUCUCUGGGCCGUUACUGACGCUGAGGAGCGAAAGCGUGGGGAGCGAACAGGAUUAGAUACCCU
rnacentral:rRNA from 1 species